GAUUUGCUGCGAAUUUUGAGAUGUCCAAUUAAGACGUGUUUUUUCCGUUCCAUCCUGAUUAAGAAAGACCUUUAGGAGCGUUGAUUAAGAAAAAAAAGCUUUAUGGAAGGAUACUCGAUUUGCAAAGCAAUAAAAAAGGACGAAAAGAGCUUUCCAUUAAACAAUAUACAAUUCCCAGACGCGAUACCGAUAAGGGCAGGAAGGUGAAACCUGAUUCAGUUUGCGGACUUUAGUGGGACUUCGCAAUUUCAGAACAUUCUUUGGUCUGAAUUUUCAAGACAACACAACAUAUCUACAGUAGUGGACAUCGAUUCAAGCGCGGUGAAUUCAUUUCGCGGAUCGCCUAUAAGCAAGAAAUUCUGACUUUUUCGCUUCUAUAAAAAGUGUUAUUCACAAAGGCUGCAAAAAGAUAGAGAUAAUCUCAUGGUGACGACAGGAGCGAAGAAAAGGACCUGUCCACCUUCUCUAUCUCCGAUGUGGCAGCCUGAUCAGAUUACCUACCGUACGUCUAAAUCCUCUCCCUCGAUACCUGAUAUAAAUUACAGACUGAUUCAGCUUGUGACAUGAACUUGAUUUAAUUUGUGUUGAGCUUUGCUAACUCGCACAGCUUCAGGUGACCUGGAAAAUAACCAUUUUUGCAAGAUUGAUUGAUUGUCAUUUGCUAAGCCACUAGGAAAAUCGCUCCUGAAAACAGGCCGAUGUUUGUCGUCUUUAGUCAAGAGUUUGUAAUCUAUAGAUGAAUGAUAGCAAAUGAGACUAUUUCUUUGAUUCAACAAUAAUUUUUAAGACUGUUAAUCGCCCCUGGUCAUGCAAUAAUGAAUACAUUUCAAGGAACAUAUUUACAUAGCAAUAUCAUAGCUAUUCAUGCAACUGGCGGAAGGAAAUCAAUCAUUUGUAGGCCAGGGACGUAUUUUGCAAUGGCUACACUAAGAUAUUGAACAGUUGGAAAUAUUUAACGAAAGGAAUUAUUUUCAUUAAGUUGCCUUGCAUAUCGGUUCUUAACACCACACAAAAGUACGCCUUAUUAUAUCAUUUCAGAUAUAUAAGAUUAACAUAUCCUACGCCUGAUAAGGAACAAUAUCCCAAUUUCUGUUUCUACGCUGUAUGCAGUUCUCACGUGCUUGCAUGAUGUAUUCAGACAAAGGUCAGCCCUAACGAUUUCUUGUUAUCCAAUUAGGAAUUUCAUCUUUUCUUAAAAAAAUCGUGUUAUUCAAUUAAGCAUUUCUUCAUUUACUGCCACGGAUAAGCAGUUUUAAACGGGACCCUCGUGAUGGCUGUUCUCCUUAAAAUUGACACCAUUAGUGCUGUCUCUGGAUAUAAGGGAAGGAAUUGACUAUUAUGACAUUUGUGCAUAAAACUACACGCAAGGAGCAGUAGGUGCAGUCCUCGCACCCUAUAUAAGAACUUAUCACCAAGAUCGUCGUCAAUAAACUAUUUUUUCGCACUGAGGUGCGUGCAUCCAAAGAAUUACACCAAAAGAAUUACAAUUCGAUACUCACAAGGAGCAGGUAUGUAACAUCUGACUGCUUGGUAUGCAAUUUGCAGUUUAUCACGAAAGUUCUACACUUACGCGCUUAGAUCUUAUUCAUUUGUACUUUUUCAAACAAAGCGCUUUCCGUGAAACGUUUACCCCAUUUACUGCUACAGCUGUUCAUUUCUGAGUUGCUUAGUCUUACCAACUUUUACCCCAUAAGGUUUACACGCUACACUCAGUAAUUUUGCAAACAGCAAGAAUAUCCCAGUAUAUAUCAUCACUUGCACGGGAGAGAAGUCGAACUCUGAACGUUUCGGAACGUUUUUCGAUGGUAUUUCAGAAUAAAGAACGCCCAGUUUAUCUGGCAUAUUCCAAGCUCGCGGUAGCCUAUAACUUUCUUUUCUACUCAGUGUUCUGUGAACUUCGCUUUUCCAAACUACUGUGUCUCAGUUUUAGAUUCCUUUUUUUUCGGGAAGAUGGAAAUAGCAAGU